rfam:Thioalkalivibrio nitratireducens DSM 14787, complete genome.
AUUUGACACGCUCCGACGGUGGCCAGUCUGGCCCCGACUUUCGGACGUGGCGCAAUGAC